rnacentral:rRNA from 1 species
UCCAGACUCCUACGGGAGGCAGCAGUGAGGAAUAUUGGUCAAUGGGCGGGAGCCUGAACCAGCCAAGCCGCGUGAAGGAAGAAGGCGCCAGGCGUCGUAAACUUCUUUUGUCGGGGAACAAAGGGCGCCACGCGUGGCGUUGUGAGUGUACCCGAAGAAAAAGCAUCGGCUAACUCCGUGCCAGCAGCCGCGGUAAUACGGAGGAUGCGAGCGUUAUCCGGAUUUAUUGGGUUUAAAGGGUGCGUAGGCGGCAUUAUAAGUUAGUGGUAAAAUAUUGGGGCUUCACCUCACUACGCCAUUAAUACUGUAGAGCUAGAGAACAGGCGAGGUAGGCGGAAUAAGUUAAGUAGCGGUGAAAUGCAUAGAUAUAACUUAGAACACCGAUAGCGAAGGCAGCUUACCAGACUGAGUCUGACGCUGAUGCACGAGAGCAUGGGUAGCGAACAGGAUUAGAUACCCUUGUAG